rnacentral:rRNA from 1 species
UGGGGAAUCUUGCACAAUGGGGGGAAACCCUGAUGCAGCGACGCCGCGUGAGCGAUGAAGCCCUUCGGGGUGUAAAGCUCUUUCGGCCGGAACGAUAAUGACGGUACCGGCAGAAGAAGCUGCGGCUAACUACGUGCCAGCAGCCGCGGUAAUACGUAGGCAGCGAGCGUUGUUCGGAGUUACUGGGCGUAAAGAGUGCGUAGGCGGCGGCCUAAGUCUGGUGUGAAAUCUCCCGGCUCAACUGGGAGGGUGCGCCGGAAACUGGGUUGCUCGAGUGUGGGAGAGGUAAGCGGAAUUCCUGGUGUAGCGGUGAAAUGCGUAGAUAUCAGGAGGAACACCUGCGGUGUAGACGGCUUACUGGACCACGACUGACGCUGAGGCACGAAAGCGGUGGGGAGCAAACAGGAUUAGAUACCCUGGUAGUCCACGCUGUAAACGUUGGUGCUAGGUGUCGCGGGUAUU